GUUCCUCCUGCCAAUUGUGAUUUGGCUGUUUGCCAAGUGGGACGGGAGAGUGUGUAAAAAAACUACGUUAAAGAAAAACGAAAGAUUUCACUUUCGCCAUCCAAUGAUCUCUCAUAGAAUAGAGAGUGAGAGACACAACUAUGUGUGUUUCAAAGGAACCGGUCAGGAAGAUCCGGUAGGGUAAAAAAAAAAAAAAAAACACUUUUAUUUUUCCCGCUUUUGCCAUUACUAUCGAAUAAUGGGCACGGACGAGAGAGUCGUACACGCCCGAGAGUUUCCACACUUGGGCCAAAAUUGUCAAGGAUGUGAAAGGAGACCUUGUCGGUUUCUACUUUUUAUUUUUUCUGCACAAAAAUUGGUGUUUUGUGAUACAUGAAGUUAACGGUCAAAUUUUACUGUUCGGAUUCAUCUUACACACGGCAGAAAAUUUCGAUUGGAAGAAUAGAUUUUAGAACAGAUCCUGUCUGCCUGGAGAGGUCAAUGCCGUUUACUUCCUAUAAGGAUAUGUAGACCGGAUCUAGCCGAAAACAAAAACAACUCUCCUUUUGAUUUGUCACGGCCGCAGUUGCGCGACCGUGUUUCUGAAUGGCGUAAAGUGGCCAUGGAGGACCCCUUUCUUUUGGUAACACACAAAAGGAGUGGUACUAGAACAGGAUUUAGCUAUCCCUUCCAGCUCGUGAAACCGUUUUCUGAUCUUUAGGUCAAUGGCAAGUCCGUUUUAAAAUUGAACAGAUAUUCUAAAUUCGAUUUUCUUUUGUGUAAAAUGAACGCAUAGACGAGCGAACACGUACGGAAUCCGAUCCGCGAGGACCUUUCAGCCUACAGGUGUUUCGAACAAAGAUGGAAUACCCGCCAAAAUAUAUCAAUAAGGAAACCAGCCGAUCAUUAGACGAAAUGCUUAACUUUGAAUUUAGCUCCAAGGUUUACGAUGAGCUUUAAGUUGGAUCAUUUGUUUACCCAGUUUCGUCUUCAAGGUGACAUUUAAAAGGUUUCUGUUGACUGAUGAGUGAAAAACAAUAAAUCAGGUGUGUGGGGACUAGACACAAUUGGCUUGUUGUUUUCCCCCCAGGAAGAAGGAAAGGUCGUAAACAAAUCUCAG